rnacentral:rRNA from 1 species
CGACUAGGUAACCUGCCUGGUAGCGGGGGGUAACUAUUGGAAACGAUAGCUAAUACCGCAUAAUAGCAGUUGUUGCAUGACAACUGUUUGAAAGGUGCAAUUGCACCACUACCAGAUGGACCUGCGUUGUAUUAGCUAGUUGGUGGGGUAACGGCUCACCAAGGCGACGAUACAUAGCCGACCUGAGAGGGUGAUCGGCCACACUGGGACUGAGACACGGCCCAG